GCCGGCAUAGCUCAGUUGGCAGAGCGUCUCACUUGUAAUGAGAUGGUCCUCCGUUCGAUUCGGGGUGCCGGCU
rnacentral:tRNA from 1 species